AUAAAUCUCAGAGGGAGCAGCAAAUUCUGCAGUCACAUCCCAAUGCUUUAUGUCGGUGACUAUGACGGAGUUAAUAAAUCGUGGGCCUGAGUGAACACAUGUGCGCAGACCUAGUGAGGACAGAGUUAAAGCUGCUGGAUGAACCAUCCACCAGAGGACUGGUCACCUGGUCUGGUCUUGUGAAAAAAAGAAAGAAGAAGAAGAAGAAGAAGAAGAAGAAGAAGAAGAAGAA